GCAGGCCUAACACAUGCAAGUCGAGCGCUACCUUCGGGUGGAGCGGCGGACGGGUGAGUAAUGCUUGGGAAUAUGCCUUUGAGUGGGGGACAACAGUUGGAAACGACUGCUAAUACCGCAUAACGUCUACGGACCAAAGGGGGGGAUCUUCGGACCUCUCGCUCAUUGAUUAGCCCAAGUGAGAUUAGCUAGUUGGUAAGGUAAUGGCUUACCAAGGCGACGAUCUCUAGCUGGUUUGAGAGGAUGAUC
rnacentral:rRNA from 1 species